GCCUAGUAGGAAAACCCUAUUUGUCCGCUCGAGCAGAGCAAGGGAUUCGUCAGGUGGCGGCGGCUCGCGAGUACGAGCUCGACGGCGGCUGAGCAUCGUCGGCUACGGGAGUUGGAGACUCGCGAGUACGAGUACCCACAUGGGUCUGUAGAUUGAGAGAGCAGUCAGGCGGCGGCGACUCGCGAGUACGAGCUCGACGGCGGCUGAGCAUCGUCGGGUUCGGGAGUUGGAGAGGAUGAGGGGGAGGCGGCGGCGCGGCGGGCGCCUGGAGUCUCGGCAUCCGACCUCAGGUCCAAGCUGCCGACGGAGGCUGUUGCGCCGCGAGCACGCUGAGCCUGAGGUAGCUGGACGACGGCCACAGCGAUGCACGAGGAGGCGAGCCCGAGGCGGUGGGUGGCGGCGGAUCCAGUCAUGCUCCUCCUGAAUUCCCCGUCGUCGUGCUACCGAGGGCGUCUUCACCCAGAUCUCCUCACGCCGGUGCGCAUGGCGACUCCUGCCGCUGGUUCCGCCUGCCGGUCGCGACGACAUAAACGAACAGAGCAUGUGCUCGCGGCGGAGGAUGCUCUCUCGCUCCCGCGGAACGCUUGCCUCGCCCGCCGCCACGGACAAGAGGGAGUAUUUCUUUAUGUAAUUGGCAAGCGCUGGUGGAAAGUGACAACAGAAGUUUUCUUGCUAUUGCGGCAGGCAACAAAAUGGAGCAUAUUCCAGAAGGAUUUAUUUUGCACAUAAAAGUGAUGGCUUGGGCCUUCGGCACCAUGGCGGCAUCAGUUUGCACGUUGUCGCUCCACUUGUAUUGCUGGUUGCAAAGAAAGGUGCGAACAGUCCAUUAGGAGGUGAAACUUAAGCACUAUUUAGUGAAAAUUUCUCUAGCAUUGUGCAAGCUGCUGCUGUUGCAUUUAAAUCGGUUUGUCCAAAUCGACAGUCCGAGGCUCCAAUCGAUGCAGUCGCGACCCCGCCUCUAUCAGCUCACCACCCAACCAGUUACACUCAGUUAUGUGACAGUUUUGAUUCAUUCUACAGAAUUAUUGGAACUCUGGAAUGACCAAAUCCCAAUUCUGCUUCAAAGGUGAGUACUGCACGAGCAAGUCAAAUUUAUUGGGACGUAGAAGAGGCAGCAAGCACAUCUAGCAGCCGGAGACAAGCAACAGUUUGUUCCCCAACAGCAACAGCAAUCCUGUUUUGUCUGGCGAAUGGUGGCGAUGGCAUCAUCCACGUCUGUCGAACUGGUGGACACUUACAGCAGGCGGUGUGGCGGUCUUCCCCUUGGUAGGAGCGCGGCGAGCCGCAAUCACCUUCACUGGCUCCAGCUCAAGUAGUGCUACCAUCGCUGGGCUCAGAGCUUUCCCAAGCAGCAAAGGUAUGGAUAGGAAGGCAGCGAAAGUCGCAAACUACUGGAAACAUCAACAAGUCAAGGCAGGAUGAAGAAGAGAAGAAAAGCCACUAUGAAUCUUAAGGCCACACGGCCCCGGGCUCGAGAACACUUGCGUCACUUGAGGGUUGGCAGCGCUAAAAGGCUCUAUUGCGACAGUGAGCGGAAUUUUGUUUGACCCUAGAUCUUUUAGGGUGACGAUGCGGGCUCGCAGCUUGUCGUUGCUGAGCUCUCGUGCCGUUGCCUAAGUCGGAUUUUAAGGCCCCAUGUAUCUUGGGGUGAGCCCGAGUGGCUGGACUCGCCGCUCGAGAUACAUCUCCAAGACUUGCUCCCCGGUCAGCCCGUGGUCGAUCAGGCUCUCCACCGCCUUGAUCAGCCCCCGAGCAUUGCUAGAUGUCUUCUUCAUCGGCUUCCAAGAUCUCUCAGAUGCUUGGGUGGCUCAUUGAUGAAAGGCGGCAGAUCUCCCGCGAGCCCCGAAGCAUAGAACCCUUAUGCCAGUUGUAGACUGACUUCGCCAAAGCAAUCUUGAAGUAGUUCGAUUCAAGCUAGAGCUGGAGGUUUGGCGCCUUCAAGGUCGCAGAUAUCAUCGCCAUUCUUCUAGACCUUCACCAGGAAGUAGUAUCAAAAUAACUCAAAGUUUGGGUUUGUCCCGAGGAAGCAUUCGCAAAGGGUGAUGAAGUUGGCGAUUGGAGAAUGGCGUUGGGUGUCAAAUGAUGCAACUGACACCCGUAGGAGAACAGAAGCCCGCGCACAAAGCUGUGCAGAGGGAAAGCCAAACCUCGACAAAAGAACUGCUAGUGCAACACUUGCUUGUGCCGACCGACGCCAGGAUGGCCUCGGUCCCCGCCGUCAUCCAUUGAAGUACCUCCCAAGGCAGCAGAAAGUCGUCUUCAACCAACGUAGUGGAGAAGAACCACUUGUCCGUGGUCUCGCCCGCCUUCUCGUUGGCGGAAGCGUUGUCCUUCCACUUGUCAGCGGUGGUGGCCUUGGGAACGCUCCGGCCACGACCUCGACCGCGGUCUCCCUCGACUCACACCAUCAGCGGCUCGCUUGGGUGGAGAAGGAAAGAAAGGGAGGGCUUGAGGAGCAAGAGCUUGCGAGGAUGGCGAUUCCGACGGGGGAGGGAGAAGCAGUAGCGGAAUCUACGAGAGGAAAAGAGGGAAAAGAGGAAGUGGGGAAAUGCCUCUCUCCCCCCUCUUUAUAUCCCAUCGGGAAACCCAAGCAACGGCUUUGGCAGGUCGACAACUGCCCCAUUUCCUUUGCGGUUUCCCACUACGCAGGAUGUGGGCGCGGAGAUCCAGGCAUUAUCAUCAUGAUGCAGCGGUCAAAGCGGAACCGACUGGCUAUCUCCCUAUCUUUACGACAGUGAUGACGGGAUGUGACAAAGCGAGCGGCAACGAUGCCUAGGUUCCUAUGGCUAGCAAUUGAUUUGAAGAAGACUUGACACCGGAGGCCGCACAACCAUGAAGCUGUGAAGACGCGACGCCGAAGGCCGUGUAGCCGUGAAGCCGCAACAUUGCAAAGACGCAUACCGCGAAGCCAUGAAGGUGAAAGAUGCAAAACCGCUAGAUCGCGACACCACAAAAUCAGGAGCUACGAAGCCAUAGAGAUGCGUCGCUGGAGGCCGCGUGAUACGUAGAUUUUGAGGUCGGGCUAUCGGGAGCUAGACUGUGUCCAUCACUAAGAAAGAGCCUGCCUGGAUUUCGUUCUCAAGGCAGCAAGACUCCACAACUCCAGACAAGCUCGAGCGCUAUCGAAGGUACAAUAUACCGAGGGUGGCCCGUCUGCCGGGAAGCUCGAGACUUGGCUGGCUUCAGGGCCCAAGAGGCCUAGCGGCAGCCUUACCCAGCGAUCGGUCCAAGGGUCCAGGCUUGGAGAUAAAAUUUAUCCUUGGCGUGCAAGCCAAGAAGCUCUCACAAUGAGGUCGGUUAGGAUCCCUAUCAACCCUAGCUCUCAUCCCCUUUAUAAGGCGAGGCUAGGGGUAGUCCGAGGCAUCUGUUCCAUUGCCCAGACCUCGGUAGCAUUCAUUAUCCUCCACUUGUAACCCCCUCGCACGAGGUGCUGCCACAUCAAUCCAAAACAAAGCAGGAGUAGGGUACUACCUCGAUCAUGAGGUCUAUGUUUUUAAGGCGUCGCCUAAGCGUCGCCUAGUCGUCGCCUAAGCGUCAAGGCGCCCCAGGAUGGCAAGGCAUCUACCCCGCCUUAGACAGACAUGAAGUGUACGGCUGUGGCUGCCCUAGUUCUGGCUGCUCCUGGGGCUUGGAGAUGACGGCCCCGCUGUCUCUCGGCACCAUGAAGAGGAGGGAGGACUGGGCGCUCCUGGGGCUUGCUGCUGUGAGGGAGAAGGGUGGGGCCAUGAAGAGGAGAGGGGACUGGAGGAGGGAGGGAGGGCCAGAAGGGUGUGGCUUCGUGGCGGCUGUGGUGGGAAAGAAGGGAAGGAGAUAGUGGAAUUAGGUCACGGGGGUGUAUAUGGCCACUAAAUGGGCUUUUGGGCCACUGGGAGGUGCAUAAGUAGUGGCCCAUCUCUCAGCCAUUGCUCUUUUUCUAGUAUUAAUAUGUGCAGACCUAUUAAUAACUCUAUUCCUGCAAUGUUUAAGGCGUCGCCUUGCCUCGCCUUACCGCCUCGCCUUGGCGCUUAGGCGUCAGAGCGGCCCUCCUCCGCCUUAUGACGCUUUACCGCCUUGAAAACAUAGCAUGAGGUCUCAAACCUGGGUAAAACCCCCGUGUGAACUCCCUUUACUUCCGACUACUGUCUCCACCCUAACGGGGGCACUGACGGGUUUCUCUGGUAGUGAGUUGGAAUCUGUUUAAAUCGUUUGGUUUGCGACCUAUCUCUCAAGGUUUGGUCCAUUAUAUGUACCCUUGGUCCCCAUGUUGGUCUUCUGCGCUUGUUGGUUGCACGAUAUAUUUAGGAAGUUAGAGUUGUGGAUACAAACCUUGGAAUGCUUAGUAGAACUAAAACCGAGUACAUAAUGUGCGGUUUCAGUACUACUAGGUGUGAGGAGGUGGAGGUUAGCCUUGAUGGGCAGGUGGUGCCUCAAAAAACACCUUUCGAUAUUUGGGGUCAAUGCUGCAGGAGGAUGGGGGUAUUGAUGAAGAUGUGAACCAUGGAAUCAAAGCCGGAUGGAUGAAGUGGCGCCAAGCUUCUGGCAUUCUCUGUGACAAGAGAGUGCCACAAAAGCUAAAAGGCAAGUUCUACAGGACGGCGGUUCGACCCGCAAUGUUUUAUGGCGUUGAGUGUUGGCCGACUAAAAGGCGACAUGUUCGACAGUUAGGUGUGGCGGAGAUGCGUAUGUUGAGAUGGAUGUGUGGCCACAUGAGGAAGGAUCGAGUCCGGAAUGAUGAUAUACGAGAUACAGUUGGGGUAGCACCUAUUGAAGAGAAGCUUGUCCAACAUCGUUUGAGAUGGUUUGGCCGUAUUCAGUGCAGGCCUCUAGAAGCUCCAGUGCAUAGCGGUCGGUUAAAGCAUGCGGAGAAUGUCAAGAGAGGUCGGGGUAGACCGAAUUUGACAUGGGAUGAGUCCGUUAAGAGAGACCUGAAGAAUUGGAGUAUGACCAAAGAACUAGCUAUGGACAGGGGUGCGUGGAAGCUUGCUAUCCAUGUGCCAGAGCCAUGAGUUGGUUGCGAGAUCUUGUGGGUUUCACCUCUAGCCUACCCCAACUUGUUUGGGACUAAAGGCUUUGUUGUUGUUGGUCUCGUGGGCAAACCUUUGCUCUGUAACUGAGUCAGGUCAGUGCCUUUUCGGUGGUUUGUUCGAUUCAUUUGUGUUGGCCUCCAUGCGUUGGUUGCAGGACUGAAUCUGGUAUGUGGAGAUCAUGUCGAUGGGGGUUUGAGGAAGGUCUGAUUUGAAGGGCCAUCUCCCUGUGGUCUUCUGUUCAUGAGUUCCAUCAUUCAUCAUUUAAUAGGAGGUGGAUUCAGUGUCCUGAUUUAUUCUUAUUGUAGCAGUUGAUCUUGCUUUUGGUAUGUGUGUAUGUUCUCCUUUACUUGCAGCAGAAGCAGGAGGGUAGUAGUUCUGCAGAGAUGAAUCAAAGGCUGGCGAGGUUUGGUUUCUGUUCAUGGCUGAUUUGAUUCGUUACAGUCAACUGUUCUUUUCAUUUGGUCAGAUCUUCUCGAAUGUGGUGUUGAACUACUCAUCAACCUAGAACUUCGUGAUUGCUUGGAUGAUAUAAUCCCCUCUCGAUUCAGCUUCUUCAUUUGCACAAUACAAUUUAGUCCAUCUUGCCAUCAAUCUGAGUCAUAUAUAUCUUGUGUUUAUUCGGCUUAACUGGUCAUAACUGCAAAAUGCAUAUGCGUGAGAAUAUUUUCCAAAGUUCCAAGUAUGUGAUGAUACAUAAUGAAAUCCGUGGUACUUUUUUAAUCAAACCUAAAUUAACCAAAACAAGUUAAGGUACAUUUCUUCGAGAAAAGGAGCAUCAAGGCUCCCCAACUUCAUUUUCACGAAACUAAUAAAGUUAAGGUACAUGGACCGCAAAAUAUCUAUAUAUCAACUAUGUGAUAUUCAUAUGAUCAAACAUACUAUCCUAAUAUGUUUGAUCAUUGGUCAUUUAUUUUUCAGGGAAAACACACAACAGCAUUGGUACACUUUUGCUCUGAGCUGUUGCAAGAAUUAACUUCUCUGAGGGAUCUUCUGCUCCUUGAGGUACCCUGCAAAUUUCUCAGCAGUUGCAGCCAGAGGUCCGGUGCUGACCAUAGCUUCAAGCCCGGGGCCAGGGAUCCCUAGCAAAAGCAGCAAACCGUUACUCGGUCAGUAUGCACAUGGACGACUUGAGGAUUUUUUUUUGAAAGCAUACGAGUUGAGGAUUGAAGGGUGGUUUCUGGAUAUCUGACCUGGAGCAAAUGUGAGCUCCAAGAUGGUGCCGACGUCGCCGUCGCCACUCACGAGCUGUAUCUUGGCGAGCACCUGCGGGAGAAGCUCUGGCAGCAGCUCGGCCGCACGGAGCGUGCCGUAGAGCCCCCAUAGCUCAGCGGCGGGCACAUCGGCCUCGAACUCGUGAACCUUGUUCCUCCUCAUCGCCAUGGACUUGAUGGACUGUAAUGCUUGGCGCCGAAAGCAAAUUCCCUUGCCUACUCUAAUUCUCUCUGGAAAAGCAUGGUCAUGCUCUCAAAAUUGAGCAUCUCCCAGAGGCCAGCAGAGUGCUCCAUUCACCGCUAGCGCGCCUUUCACCGCUGCUGGCAUGUCCUUGAUGGUGGCGACGGCCGGUGAGGAAGAUGGAGCCAGCGGCCGGCGAUCAUCGGCAUGGGAUUUGUUGCUGCACGCUAUGGUUAUGUAUUUGUUUUUCUUUUUGGGGGAAAGGGUUUUAUCCCUGGUUUCUUUACAAAAUCAUAGAUGUUCUUACAGAAUAUGUAAAACGGAAACAAUUUUGGAACCAUCUGUUUCAACAGUGUGACAAAAUAUAUCCAAUAUCCCAGUUAUAUGAA